AGUGAACGCUGGCGGUAGGCCUAACACAUGCAAGCCGAACGGCAGCACAGUAAGAGCUUGCUCUUACGGGUGGCGAGUGGCGGACGGGUGAGGAAUACAUCGGAAUCUACUUUUUCGUGGGGGAUAACGUAGGGAAACUUACGCUAAUACCGCAUACGACCUACGGGUGAAAGCAGGGGAUCUUCGGACCUUGCGCGAUUGAAUGAGCCGAUGUCGGAUUAGCUAGUUGGCGGGGUAAAGGCCCACCAAGGCGACGAUCCGUAGCUGGUCUGAGAGGAUGAUCAGCCACACUGGGACUGAGACACGGUCCAGACUCCUACGGGAGGCAGCAGUGGGGAAUAUUGGACAAUGGGCGCAAGCCUGAUCCAGCCAUACCGCGUGGGUGAAGAAGGCCUUCGGGUUGUAAAGCCCUUUUGUUGGGAAAGAAAAGCAGCAGGUUAAUACCCCGCUGUUCUGACGGUACCCAAAGAAUAAGCACCGGCUAACUUCGUG
rnacentral:rRNA from 1 species